rnacentral:misc_RNA from 1 species
AAGUCGUAACAAGGUUUCCGUAGGUGAACCUGCGGAAGGAUCAUUAGCGAGUAAGGCCAGCCCUCGUGGCUCGGUCAGUCCCAUCAUAUACACUUUAAUCUGUGAACCCGUUGUUCCUGCGGAAGGCGAAAGCUUCAUGCGACUAACCGUCCUAUGGUUCGGCACCCAUACACCCUUUAUAAAUGUAAUGGAAGCAAUCAUAAUCUAAUAAAACUUUCAACAACGGAUCUCUUGGCUCUC